rnacentral:rRNA from 1 species
AGCAGCCGCGGUAAUUCCAGCUCCAAUAGCGUAUAUUAAAGUUGUUGCAGUUAAAAAGCUCGUAGUUGAAUUUCGGGAUCAAUAUGUUGGUCGUGCCUUGGUACGUACUAAUUUAUUGGUUUCUUCCUUCUGACGAACCAUGAUGUCAUUAAUUUGGUGUCUUGGGGAAUCAGGACUGUUACUUUGAAAAAAUUAGAGUGUUUAAAGCAGGCUCACGCUUGAAUACAUUAGCAUGGAAUAAUGAAAUAGGACGUUUGAUUCUAUUUUGUUGGUUUCUAGGAUCGACGUAAUGAUUAAUAGGGAUAGUUGGGGGCAUUAGUAUUCAAUUGUCAGAGGUGAAAUUCUUGGAUUUAUUGAAGACUAACUACUGCGAAAGCAUUUGCCAAGGAUGUUUCAUUAAUCAAGAACGAAAGUUAGGGAUCGAAGACGAUCAGAUACCGUCGUAGUCUUAACCAUAAACUAU